rnacentral:rRNA from 1 species
AACGAACGCUGGCGGCAGGCUUAACACAUGCGAGUCGAGCGCCCCGCAAGGGGAGCGGCAGCCGGGUGAGUAACGCGUGGGAACGUACCUUUUGGUUCGGAACAACUCCGGGAAACUGGAGCUAAUACCGGAUAAGCCCUAACGGGGAAAGAUUUAUCGCCGAAAGAUCGGCCCGCGUCUGAUUAGCUAGUUGGUGAGGUAACGGCUCACCAAGGCGACGAUCAGUAGCUGGUCUGAGAGGAUGAUCAGCCACACUGGGACUGAGACACGGCCCAGACUCCUACGGGAGGCAGCAGUGGGGAAUAUUGGACAAUGGGCGCAAGCCUGAUCCAGCCAUGCCGCGUGAGUGAUGAAGGCCUUAGGGUUGUAAAGCUCUUUUGUCCGGGAAGAUAAUGACUGUACCGGAAGAAUAAGCCCCGGCUAACUUCGUG